rnacentral:lncRNA from 1 species
CUCCAUGCAAAAAAAAAUUACUUCAAUCCAAUUAACAGAUUGCUAAAGAUCUUAAAAAUACUCACAAAUCCUCAAAUUCCAAUUUUUGAGACCUCAACCUGCAAAAACCUUCACACUUUGAUCUAAUUGUUCGAUUGAUCUCAAAAUUUGCACGCACUCUAACAACUAGAAUAAAAAUAUGUUAUCCAAAAUUCACUAAUAUAAACAUCAUAGAAC